rnacentral:rRNA from 1 species
GUACACGCUGUGACUAGCAUAUCAAUAAGCGGAGGAAAAGAAACUAACAAGGAUUCCCUUAGUAACGGCGAGUGAAGCGGGAAGAGCUCAAAUUUGAAAUCUUCAAGGUUUUACCUUGACGAAUUGUAGUUUAAAGAAGUGUUUUCUGUUGAAGUUUUGGUAAAAGUUCUUUGGAAUAGGACAUCAUAGAGGGUGAGAAUCCCGUAUUUGACCAUUAUUUUCAGCUAUGUGAUACACUUUCAACGAGUCGGAUUGUUUGGGAAUGCAGUCCAAAAUGGGUGGUAAAUUUCAUCUAAAGCUAAAUAUUGGCGAGAGACCGAUAGCGAACAAGUACCGUGAGGGAAAGAUGAAAAGAACUUUGAAAAGAGAGUUAAACAGUACGUGAAAUUGUCAAAAGGGAAGCGUUUGACACCAGUGUUGUUUUUCCGAAAAUCAAUUACGAAUGUUUUAUUUUUGAGGAGUUAUGACUUCAUCGGCUUGCUCCUUUCUUUAUGAAACUCUCUUAAUGCACUUUUCGGUUAACAAGUCAACAUCAAUUUCUUUUGUUGUAAAAGGGUAUGAGGAAGGUGGCUUUCUUUUCGGAGAAAGUGUUUAUAGCCUUGUGCCUCUGCAAUCGGAGAGAUUGAGGUCUGCAGCGUAGAUCCUUCGGGGUUAGAUACGUUUGUGCUAAGUUAUAGCUUUUCAUAGACAACUUGUUGACUAUGUUUAGUCUUGUAGCUUACUCGCUUACGCUAUUUUACCUACGCUUAGGAUGUUGAAGACUCUACAGAGAUA